CCUGUCCCUUGGGGCAUUGAAGGUGUGGCUUCUCUGUCCCAUGUGCAUCCAUAGGAGACAGAGAGGAGACAGAUUAUUUCUAAGCUCAGUGUUCUGACCAAUAAACAUCUUAAUAAUUAACAGCCCAUCCAU